AUAGUGGAGGUUAUCAAGGAGACAGGUGGUGCAUGGUUGUCGUCAGCUCGUGUCGUGAGAUGUUGGUUAAGUCCCGCAACGAGCGCAACCCUUAUUGCUAGUUACCAUCAUUAAGUUGGGGACUCUAGCGAGACUGCCAGUGAUAAACUGGAGGAAGGUGGGGAUGACGUCAAAUCAUCAUGCCCCUUAUGACCUGGGCUACAAACGUGAUACAAUGGCUGAAACAAAGGGCAGCGAAGCAGUGAUGUGGAGCGAAACCCAAAAAGCAGUCUCAGUUCGGAUUGAAGUCUGCAACUCGACUUCAUGAAGUUGGAAUCGCUAGUAAUCGUAGAUCAGAACGCUACGGUGAAUACGUUCUCGGGGUUU
rnacentral:rRNA from 1 species